GAAAUGCGAUAAGUAGUGUGAAUUGCAGAAUUCAGUGAAUCAUCGAAUCUUUGAACGCACAUUGCACCUCUCGGUAUUCCGGGAGGUAUGCCUGUUCGAGCGUCAUUUGUACCCUCAAGCUUUGCUUGGUGUUGGGUGUUUGUUCCGCCUUUGCGUGUGAACUCGCCUUAAAACAAUUGGCAGCCGGCGUACUUGUUUCGGAGCGCAGCACAUUUUGCGUUCAGUUCAGUGUACACUGGCAUCCAAGAAGCCUUUUUUUAACGCUCUUGACCUCGGAUCAGGUAGGGAUACCCGCUGAACUUAA
rnacentral:misc_RNA from 1 species